AAAGAAAGAAAGAAAGAAAGAAAGAAAGAUAGAAAGAAGAAAGAAAGAAAGAAAGAAAGAAAGAGAGAGAGAGAGAGAGGGGGGAGAGAGAGACAAAGAGAAAGGAACAAGUACAGAUAAUGAUGUAUGGUGUGGCCAAGAACAAAAGCCCUUGGCUCACGAAGCUGCUCAGAUGUGGGCAAGAGUUCCUCUGUGAAACCUAGCCCCUGCUCUCUCACGCACACUAACACACACACACACACACACACACACACACACACACACACACACACACACACACACACACACACACACACUGUCACUAAAUGGACAAGGGGCUUUUCUCAAUAAGCUGCCAUGCUGUUAUCUGUACCGAUUCGAUUGGCACUAGCUGAGCAGCUUUUGUGUGUGUGUGUGUGUGUGUGUGUGUGUGUGUGUGUGUGUGUGUGUGUCAUUGGGCAGGGGAACAGAUAAAUAAGAAGUGUGUCUGGUCUUAAAUGACCUCUCUUGUUCUCUCUAGGGCCCUAUAGCCUCUCUCAUCAACUAAUCCGUAGACACGGACAUAAUACCCCUCACACACUACUACUGUCCAAUCAACAGCUUUAGCAGAUGUUGAAUAGACCCUCCUGUCAGUUAGUAGACAGGUCUUACAGGUAUGGUAAGGCCCUCAUCUAGCACAGUUUCCAAGGUAAACGGGACUUAGUGUCAGUGUAAAAGUCUUAGAGAUGACCCCUCAAUCACUCACUCACUCAUCAUAGAGCGAAGAGGACAGCGUGAGAGAGAGAGAGAGAGAGACAGAGAGAGAGAGAGACAGAGAGAGACAGAGAGAGAGAGAGACAGAGAGACAGAGAGAGAGAGAGAGACAGAGAGAGAGAGGGAGCGAGAGAGAGAGACCCCUCACGUUCACAUCUCACGUCCUGCGGCACUGAUGAGGAUACAGAGGGGUCUCAGAGAGAGGGAGAGAACAAAGGACAGCUAGUGUGCGUUUCUCAGGAGGGCGUUUAACAACACUAUUACACGUGCUGUUAGUCAGCGCCUCGUUCUAACGCCACUUGUUUCUGGAGCCGCAACACAGACAAACGACGUGUCCAGUUAGCCUGAGACUCUGUCAUUUGCUAUCCUUAAAAACAGCCCACAGACUGAUGUGCGUGUGUGUGUGAGGGGGUGUUUGUGUGUGUGUGUGUGUGUGUGUGUGUGUGUGUGUGUGUGUGUGUGUGUGUGUGUGUGUGUGUGUGUGUGUGUGUGUGUGUGUGUGUGUGUGCGAGUGAGUGAGUGUAAAAGGGAGAAUUUCACAUGUCGUGAAAACGUCAGAAGGAGAGAACAAGAAAAUAAAUCUUGGCUAUCAAAACACAACUCCCCGAGUAACUGUUAAAAUAAGUUACAAAGUGGAGAGAGAGAAGGAGAGAGAGAGGAAUUGAGAAUGAAAAUGAUGUCAGAAUAUUUUGGCCAUCUCUCUCUCUCUUUCUCUCUCAACCCAAAUCAAUCCUUAAAGGGCAACAUUUCCAUGCUGUGCUGUUUUACUGUUACUAGUCUCUUUCUUUACUUGGCCUAAACUCUGAAGCAUUUACAGGCAUACUUAGCGGGUGAAUAUAGUUAGCUUGUGGUCGCAAUAUUGCGGCGCUGCAUUUUAACAGGUCAUUAUGAGGAAGGAGCGCUAUUCUCGAGUGGGGUUGCGUGGGAGUGUGUGUGUGUGUGUGUGAGACAAAAGGAAGGAUUUUCCAUCCCUUCAAAGGCGUCCCAGUCGUCUCUCUCCUAGUUUUACGACCUCAUGACAUCACCCAGACCCUUCCUGAAGCCAAGACCAGCCACUGCUUGAGUGAGAGCGGCACACUCGUGGGUACACUAUAAAACACAAUCCCAUAUGCAUAUUCCAUUCACAAUCACUUCAUUUAGAGUGUGUGUGUGUGACAGAGUAUGUGUGCAUGUGUGUGUGACACUGUGUGUGUGUGUUUUCCCACCAGUCUCUCUAGGCAACGGCAUAUUAGACUGACACAAAGCAUCAGGGUAAAUUAGCUGUGGCUCCGGCUAUAACAACUAGCUGUGUGUGUGUGUGUGUGUGAGUGUGUGUGUGCGAGUGUGUGUGUGCGAGUGUGUGUAGCUGUGUGUUUUGUCUUUGUGUCCCUAAUGGGGCAUGCUGGAAGAUAUUACUGUGUUGGUUAGGCCCCUAAUCCUUCCCCACUGGCCCCAAUCAGGGAGCACCAGCCCAACCUAGUACCCGCCUGUGUGCGUGUAUGUGUGUGUGUGUGUGUGUGUGAGACACCAGGCCUAGACCCUUCACUGCUGGAUACACCAGACCCAUAAUUAUUAUGAACAGUGCAUUAACGUAGUACGUGCAUGUGUGUGUUGCCACGGAGAGAACCCUGUCGUCGAGGGAGGCAGGGCGGGAAAAAAAAUGAUGACGCCAAUGUCUGCAGCCGGGGAAUUCAUCCAUCACGUACGAGGGCUCGAUUUAGAGGAAAACUGUUCCCAGGACAGUAGCAGACAUUUCAGCGCCUGGGGAUGGGAUAAAAGCCGCAGAGAGGCAUGUGGAAAUUCUUCUGUACUCUAUAGGAGGAAGAGCAUGUCGGCAGGACAUCAAACAGCGCCUAUAGGAGACAUCUCUUCCCACCUAAUUUCUCUGUCUGCAAGCAUCUCUCUCUCCCUGCUAUCAUCUCUCUCUAUCCCUCCCUCUCGUGUUUUCUCUCUCUCUGCUAUCAUCAGCCUACCCCCCCACCCCCUCCCACACCUUCUCACUAUCUGUCUGUUCUGAGCUCAAAGAGGCCAUUCCUCUCUGUUCCUGCUCUGUUGUUACCUGCCAGGGCGGGGCCCCGCGACUUGACAUCUUGUGGUCCCGUUGCCAAGGACACCGUUGGAGACCGGCUCGCUGUGAUGUCAACACACAUGCAAUGUAUUUCAUCACACACCCCCUGUCCCCCCGUCUUAGUGAACAAAAGCCAAGAUUGACUGAACUAGGGAGUGUCUGGGAGGGAAGAGCCAAUGGAUGAAUGAAUGGGUGACUGUCUGUACCUGUUCCUCUGUUUCACACAGCUAACACAUGGCAAGCCCAAACCCACUCUUCCGACAAAGUAGCUCAUCUGUAGCAGGACAAUAAAACAGGACAGUUAACGUUAAGUUAAGCUAAGAUACGCUAGGCUAAUAAUAAACUCACAGUGAAGCCCAACCAUUUUGCAUGAGUUAAUUAGCUGCUACCACUAACAAUGAGCAAUUGUGUCCCAUAUCUCAGCUCGCUGGUCACCAUAGCAUCUCCCACCUGUAGCACACGCUCCAGCAGGUAUAUCUCUCUAGUCACCCCCAAAACCAAUUCUUUCUUUGGCCGCCUCUCCUUCCAGUUCUCUGCUGCCAAUGACUGGAACAAACUACAAAAAUCUCUGAAACUGGAAACACUUAUCUCCCUCACUAGCUUUAAGCACCAACUGUCAGAGCAGCUCACAGAUUACUGCACCUGUACAUAGCCCACCUAUAAUUUAGCCCAAACAACUACCUCUUUCCAAACUGUAUUUAAUUAAUUAAUUUAUUUUGCUCCUUUGCACCCCAUUAUUUUUAUUUCUACUUUGCACAUUCUUCCAUUGCAAAACCACCAUUCCAGUGUUUUACUUGCUAUAUUGUAUUUACUUUGCCACCAUGGCCUUUUUUGCCUUUACCUCCCUUCUCACCUCAUUUGCUCACAUUGUAUAUAGACUUGUUUAUACUGUAUUAUUGACUGUAUGUUUGUUUUACUCCAUGUGUAACUCUGUGUCGUUGUAUCUGUCGAACUGCUUUGCUUUAUCUUGGCCAGGUCGCAAUUGUAAAUGAGAACUUGUUCUCAACUUGCCUACCUGGUUAAAUAAAGGUGAAAUAAAUAAAAAUAAAAAUAAAACAUUGGCCCACUAUGCUAGGCUACACUACA